rnacentral:rRNA from 1 species
CCUACGGGCGGCAGCAGUGAGGAAUAUUGGUCAAUGGGCGGAAGCCUGAACCAGCCAAGUAGCGUGCGGGAUGAAGGCCCUACGGGUCGUAAACCGCUUUUGCACGGGGAUAACACCCUCCACUUGUGGAGGUCUGCAGGUACCGUGCGAAUAAGGGCCGGCUAAUUCCGUGCCAGCAGCCGCGGUAAUACGGAAGGCCCGAGCGUUAUCCGGAAUGACUGGGCGUAAAGGGAGUGUAGGCGGCAUAUUAAGUUAUGUGUGAAAGCCCGCGGCUCAACCGCGGAAUUGCACAUAAAACUGGUAAGCUGGAGUGCAGGAGAGGUAAGUGGAAUUCCCGGUGUAGCGGUGGAAUGCGUAGAUAUCGGGAGGAACACCAGAGGCGAAGGCGACUUACUGGACUGUAACUGACGCUGAGGCUCGAAAGCGUGGGGAGCAAACAGGAUUAGAUACCCCUGUAGUC